AACGAACGCUGGCGGCAUGCCUAACACAUGCAAGUCGAACGAGACCUUCGGGUCUAGCGGCGCACGGGUGCGUAACGCGUGGGAACCUGCCCUUAGGUUCGGAAUAACUCCCCGAAAGGGGUGCUAAUACCGGAUAAUGUCUUCGGACCAAAGAUUUAUCGCCUUUGGAUGGGUCCGCGUUGGAUUAGCUAGUUGGUAGGGUAAAAGCCUACCAAGGCGACGAUCCAUAGCUGGUCUGAGAGGAUGAUCAGCCACACUGGGACUGAGACACGGCCCAGACUCCUACGGGAGGCAGCAGUGGGGAAUAUUGGACAAUGGGCGAAAGCCUGAUCCAGCAAUGCCGCGUGAGUGAUGAAGGCCUUAGGGUUGUAAAGCUCUUUUACCCGGGAUGAUAAUGACAGUACCGGGAGAAUAAGCUCCGGCUAACUCCGUG
rnacentral:rRNA from 1 species